AGCUUUACGCAGUGGCAGCAUCCUAUCCAAUGAGUUUAUCUAAGGUGUGAUUGUUGCUAAUUAGAAACUAUCCCAGACCCAGACUUCACUCAUCCCAGAGCUCUGAAGUAACUCUUGUUAUUCUAACUGGA
ensembl:snRNA U4 U4 spliceosomal RNA